UCAUUCAUCUCCCUCCCAAUUCACUUGGAUUCUCUGGGUAUGGAUUAGUUCAGAAUACUUCAGGCUCCAAGUAAUGGAAAGUCUAACUUGUAGUCACUUCAACAGAAAAGAUUUUUCUUUUCUCAUAUGACAUCUGGAGAAAAAUGAGUGCUGGUGUUUCAGUGCUUCAACAACACCAGGGCUAACAUCUCUGGGAGUCUUUUUGUUGAUCCCUAAUACUUGUUGCCCCUGAUCACAGGAUGGCUGCUGCAACUCCAGGCAUCAUAUCUGCAGUCCAGGCUGGAAAAAGAGAAUCAGUAUAACCUGCCUCUUCUCUCAAUUUUUAUCAUGAAAGCAAAAGCUGUCCCAGAGACUUUCAGCUCCUUAGCCAGAGCUUGGUCCCAAGGACAUCCAUCACUGCUACAGAAGAGGAUGGGAAGUGGGUCUAUAUGAUCAUGGACCAGUCAUUUUCAUCUUCUCUGUGUCUCAUGUUGCUCGUUUGUAAAAUUGGAGGGUGACAGCCAAGAAAUCCUGCCUCAGCACCAAGGUGGGCUGCCCUGGGAGCACAAGGAAUGUCACUCUGACAGCUUUGGUGGAUGAGGGGUGGAGAGCGGAGACAAACAGACGAAUAAAGACCACAUCUGUUUGGGAGGACUUUGCAUCAUCCAUGCAGAAAAGAGAUGGCCGUCGCUUGGUCAAGAGUGAUGAUGAGAGAGUUGGAGAGAAAUGGGGCUACUAUAACAGAGUCCCACAAACUGGCUGGCUUAGAACAAUGGAUAUCCAUCUGCUACAGAUCUGGAGGCGAGAAGUCCAUAACUAAGGUGUCCUGAGGGCAUGCUCCCUCUAAAGCCUGUGGGGCAGGAUGCUCCCUCGACUCUUGCAGCUUGCGCUGCUGGUGGCUGUCCAUCCUUGCUGUUCACGCCGAGGAUCUCUGUCUCUGCUGUCAUGUGAUCAUCUUCUCCCUGUGUCUCUGUUUUCUCCCUUCUUAUAAGGACACCAGUUAUGCUGGAUUUAGGCCCACUCUAAGGACAUUAUCUUAACUUGAUUACAUCUGCAAAGACCCUACUUCCAAAUAAGGUCACAUUCACAGACAUGGGGCUUAGGACUCCGUCAUAUCUUUUUGGGGACAUGAUUCAACCCAUAACACUGAAUAAAUUCCCCAAAUGUCCUGGGAUAUUCCAUUCCUGACUUCUGUUUCGGAAGGGCUCCUGCUGGAGUGGGCUCAGUGCCACUUCCCGGCAGAGCCGUGUUUCCUUUUCAGGAGCCAACACAGCCUGAUGGUGGUGAUGGUGGGGGUGGGGGCCUCUUCUAUUUCUAGAUUGCUAAGGCUGGAAGGGACUUGGGGCCCAUCUGGGCCACCUCCUCAUGUGCCAGGAGAGGAAAACAGAACUAGAGGAGGGGAGGGGCUGGCUCCUGGGCCCAGAGGAAGCAGUUAAGCCUGCCCCAUUUCACCUUGGUCACCAUUUACAUUCUGCCUGGAUUCUGGAUUAUUUUCUGGAUUCUAGAAAGGACUUAAAUGAGGCUGACAGGGAGCUUGUAUCAUUGCCUGAAUUUGAAGCCAUGAAUCAUGCUGUGUCUGUGGGAGCUUGUGAAGGAGAAGCUAGAACAUAUUUGUUCAAAUUAAAUAAUUCUUGAUCCAAUGUGGCGACUAUCAGCCAGCCUUCUGUGCUGAGGGCAGGGGCUUCUGGCAUGAGAAGAGAGAAGCCUAGGAGAAGAGACAGCAGAUGCUGUAGAGGGGGCUCCAGGUUGACUCCGGGCCCUGGGCUCAGCAUGUCUGGGUAUGGUAGAUGGGUCCACCAGAAGUUUAUUAGGAUGCUGAGCGCAUUGGUUUUCCACUGCUGUCAGAAAAUUACCACAAGCUCAGGGCGUCAUUGAAUCUGUCAAAAACCAGUUAGUCAUAUUUGUGUCUGUUUCCAGGUUAUUUAUUCUGUUUUAUUGAUGUAUGUGUCUAUCUCUUACCAGUGCCCUGCAGUUUGAUUACUGGAGCGUUAUAGUAAGUCUUAAAAUCAGGUAGUGUCAAUCUUCCAAAUUUGUUUAUUUUUCAAAAUUGUUGUGGCUAUUCUAGUUCUGGUUCCUUUUCCUAUAAAUUUUAGAAUCAGCUUAUCUGUAUCACAAAAAAUUCUGCUGAAGUUUUGACUGGAAAUUCUUUAAAUCUAUGGAACAAAUUUGGGGAGAAUUGACAUCUUAGCUAUGUUGAGUCUUGCAAUCCAGGAACACAAUAUGUCUCUCCGUUUAUUUAGUUGUUACUGCUUUCAGCAGUGUUUUACAGUUUUUAUCAUGUGAGUCCUGAACAUGUAUUCUUAGAUUUAUUGCUAAGUAUUUAAUUUUGGGAAACUUUUUAUAAAUGGCAUUGGUUUUUAAAAUUCUAGUUUCCAAUUAUUUAUUGCCAGCAUAUAAAAAUAUGAUUGAUUUUUUCAUGUUGACUUUAUAUCCCACAACCUUGCUAAACUCAAUAUUAAGAUGAUUAUUUUGGUAGGUUCUUUGCGAUUUUCUACAGUCAUGUCUGUGAAUAGGGAUAGUUUUAUUUCUUCCUUUACAAGCUGUAUGCUUUUUCUUUCUUCUCCUUGCCUUAUUGCACUGUGACUUCCAGUAUGAUGCUAAAUAACAGCAGCGAGAGCAGAUGACUUUGCCUUGUUCUCCUUGUGGGGAAGCAUUCAGUCCUUCAUUAUGGAGUCUGAUGACAGUUAUGGAAUUUUUAUAAACAAUCAAGUUAAGGAAGUUCUCUUCUGGUCAUAGUUUGCUGAAAGU